UUUGAGAUAGGGUCUCACUAUGAAGCCCUGGAACUCAGUAGGUAGACCAGGCUGGCCCCAAACUUAUCACAAUCCUGCCUCUCCAGUGCUGAUACCGUAGUUCCCCCAUACUGUGCUUAUCUUUUUAUUCUUAGUGACAACAUAGAAGAGUAACUUAAGAGUAGUAUAUUGCAGUAACAAUUCUCUUAAGAAAUUAUGGGCUAUUGUAAACCAUCAUUAAUGGCAUAAUUUUUUCUUAAGCAUAAGAGAAGAAUCUUACUGGAUACUAUAGUCAUCUGAAACACUUAAAAGUUAAUGAGCUGAACAGGUGUAAUGAUACAAGCCCCUAAUCCCAACACUCGGGAGGUGGAGGCUGGAAGAUCAGGAGUUCAAAGCUAGCCUAAGUGACAGGAGACCGUUUAAAAGAAAAUCCACUAAGGGAAAAAAUGAGUUGGAUCUCCCUCUUUCUCCUCCCCAACCCCCAUGUGUGUUUGGGGGCCUAAGAGGAUUAAAAAGAAAGUCGUAAUUUUCUUCUUGCCCUGGUCCACCAAGUUUUUCUGCUUCUGGGAAUAGGGAAAACUGACCUCCGAAGGAGAACCUCCUGUCCCAGAUGCUACCGUUUGCAGUGUCCUGCCUGGUGGGGAGAGAGCUGGAAAGAUGACAAGAGCGAAUGUUCAGAAAGGAAGGAAAAGCCAAGAGAACUUUCAAGCAGAGCUUUUGCACGUCUCGUAGUGUAUUUGAUGCAUAGGAGUCAAUAACUCAAAUCUAGAUGCUUUCAUAUACAUAUAUGGAAAGGCCACAAUCAUCCCUGAAGUGAAAGCCCCUGGCAUUGUUCCGGAUCUUGAGAAAUUCCCAACAUCAUGGUAGAUAUUCAAGGAGGGCAGUCCAUUCGGACUGAGUUCAGUCUGUGGAGUCAGUUGCUGAUGCAGUUUUUUUUUUUUUUCCUGGUUGCUAAAUUUAACCGACAGAGUUCUCGGCGCCAAGCGUUGUGGGAAACAUUGGCAUAUUGAAUUCAGUGUUCAGAUGUUUCAUUCAACAAGCUCAAGACAAAACAGCAUCUUUGGUUUUUCCAAGCGCAGAUUAUCAUUAUCGGAGUUCGAUUCUUUGAGCCGUUUUGCUGUAUCUCAUUUAAGGAGGUGGGGGGUAGAGGGGCUUUGCCAGAAUUCAUUGGACUAUGGAAGAUGGAAGAAUGGUAGGAAGUGGAAGCGUGCCAAGACUGCUGGGGGAAAGUCAUGAAUGAUGCCACCCAAGUAAUUAGCCUGAGGUCCCGAUGACCUUUAGCACAUCGUUCAUAUGGUCGCAGUGCAUCUGACUGUGAGAAGGGCUUGAAUAUAUGUGCUUCAUAGACUACGGUGAACAUUAAUUGAAACUGUAGGCAUGAAAGGUGCCAAUCAAUAUUACUUUUGUCCCUCAAUCAGUGAGACUCUACAUAGUUAAUUACUUCUUCAUUAUACAAUGCUGGGCCAUGGUGAAUUGUCUUGGUUCAAAGAUUGGGAUGCACUGUCUCCCAGUUAUUGUCCUCCAGUAAGCAUCACUGCAUUUGGGUUACUCAGGCAUUUAUGGCAGUAAGUUCUGACUUCUUUCCAACUCUGAAAGCACAGAAACUGUACUAAAGUUAGAAUUGAACUGGAGUCCCCCCACUGUCCUAGCCUGCACCCACAGAAUCAGAGGCCUGUUGAAUCAAAGGCUAUUGCUCUUUGCUUGUGGAACUGGAAUGAGAAAACAGGCAUCUUGAUUGCUGUCCGAGCUCAGGCAUUGGACAGCAGUGAUGACAGAAGCCUGUGUUGAGUGCUUCUGUGAGCCCCCUUCCCUCCUGUGUCAGUACACACCGGGCAAACAAGCCUUCACCAAGGGCUUUCUCAGAGUCCAAAUCUGCCCAGAGACUUGUUACUUGUUACAUCAGACCCACAACAACCAAAUUUGCUGAAGAAGUGAGGAAACUGGAAAUGAAGUGAAAUCAGUCAUUUCCAGCCCACCCUGAGACAAAUCCAGCACUGGAAGGCUCACACACCCCUCAUAGUGCAGAUAAGGAACUGGGGCAGGGAGAGUCUCGAUGAUCUAACUAGUCUUCCUUCCACAGCGAAGGGAGAGAUUUCCUGAGAGCACUGAAGACAUUCUGAUGACCCUUUCUCCCCUCAUAGCCUAGUUCUGUCAUAUGAAUCAGCAUAAGCAACAUGUCACCACCGUGUCCCAUUGGCUCGGGAUCUUGGCUCCUCAGGAGAGGGCUGUGCAGCUGAGCACAGUCCUUUCCUGGCUGAGCCCCUGCUUGGGUAUGCCUGAGCUGUCCAGCAUGGCCAGUGUGUAAAUGUCAAGUAAACAUCAAAUUCAAGUGCAAUCUAACCAUUGUCCUAGAACUGUUUGCUUUAGAUAUAAUAGUUAGCAGGAAGAGGAGGUGAGGCAGGGAGAGAAUGUAUGUCAUUCCAUAAAGCAAAACAUGAACAUGGGGGGCCCUCCCUCUGCCAACGUGUUGAAAAGACCAACGUCAAAUAAAUAAAAAAGCCUGCA